CCUACGGGAGGCAGCAGUGAGGAAUAUUGGUCAAUGGGCGCAAGCCUGAACCAGCCAAGUCGCGUGAGGGAUGACGGUCCUAUGGAUUGUAAACCUCUUUUGUCGGGGAGCAAGGCCCGCCACGUGUGGCGGGCCGGAGAGUACCCGCAGAAAAAGCAUCGGCUAACUCCGUGCCAGCAGCCGCGGUAAUACGGAGGAUGCGAGCGUUAUCCGGAUUUAUUGGGUUUAAAGGGAGCGUAGGUGGAUUGUUAAGUCAGUUGUGAAAGUUUGCGGCUCAACCGUAAAAUUGCAGUUGAAACUGGCAGGCUUGAGUACAGUAGAGGUGGGCGGAAUUCGUGGUGUAGCGGUGAAAUGCUUAGAUAUCACGAAGAACUCCGAUUGCGAAGGCAGUUCACUGGACUGCAACUGACACUGAGGCUCGAAAGUGUGGGUAUCAAACAGGAUUAGAUACCCCAGUAGUC
rnacentral:rRNA from 1 species